CUGGGGAUGAUGGUGAGUGGUGUCACUUCCACUUCCAUCCCUUUAAUCCUGGAGCCGUGAGUCCUGGCUAUGGGAGAAACAGUGCCAUAUAUGGGAUGCUGAUUCAGAGCAUACACAGUCUUCUGGAGAACUUUACCCCAGGUCUGCAAAGUAUUGUUACCUAGUUGGCAUUGUAAUUGUGACUUCAAAAGGCCGUUCCAUCAUUUUAUCAAUUCAGCUGCUUCAGGAUGACAGAUAACAUGCAGACUACCUGGUCAUGUGGCCACGUUCUCAUGGUGAUGUCAGAGGGAAGAGUGCCAGCAGAAGUACUCUGCUUAGAUCACAUCUUCUAUCAUCCCCUUGUCCAAAAUGCUAUUCUUGGUUCCUGAUCUGGUGUUGCCAUCAACAUGCUAAUUGUUCCUGUACACUUGCAAACUCAUUAAACCUGAGAAAGACA
ensembl:lncRNA novel transcript